rnacentral:ribozyme from 1 species
ACAUACGUGCGUUUUUUUUUCUUUUUCUUUUUCUUUUUUCUUUUUUUCUUUUUUU